rnacentral:rRNA from 1 species
AACACAUGCAAGUCGAGGGGCAUCAGGAACAAUGCUUGCUUUCUUUGCCGGCGACCGGCGCACGGGUGAGUAACACGUAUCCAACCUGCCCUUUACUCGGGGAUAGCCUUUCGAAAGAAAGAUUAAUACCCGAUAGUAUAAUGAUUCCGCAUGGUUUCAUUAUUAAAGGAUUCCGGUAAAGGAUGGGGAUGCGUUCCAUUAGGUUGUUGGUGAGGUAACGGCCCACCAAGCCUUCGAUGGAUAGGGGUUCUGAGAGGAAGGUCCCCCACAUUGGAACUGAGACACGGUCCAAACUCCUACGGGAGGCAGCAGUGAGGAAUAUUGGUCAAUGGGCGCUAGCCUGAACCAGCCAAGUAGCGUGAAGGAUGAAGGCUCUAUGGGUCGUAAACUUCUUUUAUAUAAGAAUAAAGUGCAGUAUGUAUACUGUUUUGUAUGUAUUAUAUGAAUAAGGAUCGGCUAACUCCGUGCCAGCAGCCGCGGUAAUACGGAGGAUCCGAGCGUUAUCCGGAUUUAUUGGGUUUAAAGGGAGCGUAGGUGGACUGGUAAGUCAGUUGUGAAAGUUUGCGGCUCAACCGUAAAAUUGCAGUUGAUACUGUCAGUCUUGAGUACAGUAGAGGUGGGCGGAAUUCGUGGUGUAGCGGUGAAAUGCUUAGAUAUCACGAAGAACUCCGAUUGCGAAGGCAGCUCACUGGACUGCAACUGACACUGAUGCUCGAAAGUGUGGGUAUCAAACAGGAUUAGAUACCCUGGUAGUCCACACAGUAAACGAUGAAUACUCGCUGUUUGCGAUAUACAGUAAGCGGCCAAGCGAAAGCAUUAAGUAUUCCACCUGGGGAGUACGCCGGCAACGGUGAAACUCAAAGGAAUUGACGGGGGCCCGCACAAGCGGAGGAACAUGUGGUUUAAUUCGAUGAUACGCGAGGAACCUUACCCGGGCUUAAAUUGCAGUGGAAUGAUGUGGAAACAUGUCAGUGAGCAAUCACCGCUGUGAAGGUGCUGCAUGGUUGUCGUCAGCUCGUGCCGUGAGGUGUCGGCUUAAGUGCCAUAACGAGCGCAACCCUUAUCUUCAGUUACUAACAGGUCAUGCUGAGGACUCUGGAGAGACUGCCGUCGUAAGAUGUGAGGAAGGUGGGGAUGACGUCAAAUCAGCACGGCCCUUACGUCCGGGGCUACACACGUGUUACAAUGGGGGGUACAGAAGGCAGCUAGCGGGUGACCGUAUGCUAAUCCCAAAAGCCUCUCUCAGUUCGGAUCGAAGUCUGCAACCCGACUUCGUGAAGCUGGAUUCGCUAGUAAUCGCGCAUCAGCCACGGCGCGGUGAAUACGUUCCCGGGCCUUGUACACGCCGCCCGUCAAGCCAUGGGAGCCGGGGGUACCUGAAGUACGUAACCGCAAGGAUCGUCCUAGGGUAAAACUGGUGACUGGG